GACGAACGCUGGCGGCGUGCUUAACACAUGCAAGUCGAACGGAAAGGCCCUGCUUUUGUGGGGUGCUCGAGUGGCGAACGGGUGAGUAACACGUUAGUAACCUGCCCUUGACUUUGGGAUAACUUCAGGAAACUGGGGCUAAUACCGGAUAGGAGCUCCUGCUGCAUGGUGGGGGUUGGAAAGUUUCGGCGGUUGGGGAUGGACUCGCGGCUUAUCAGCUUGUUGGUGGGGUAGUGGCUUACCAAGGCUUUGACGGGUAGCCGGCCUGAGAGGGUGACCGGCCACAUUGGGACUGAGAUGCGGCCCAGACUACUACGGGAGGCAGCAGUGGGGAAUAUUGCACAAUGGGCGGAAGCCUGAUGCAGCAACGCCGCGUGGGGGAUGAAGGCCUUCGGGUUGUAAACCGCUUUCGCCUGUGACGAAGCGUGAGUGACAGUAAUGGGUAAAGAAGCACCGGCUAACUACGUG
rnacentral:rRNA from 1 species